AUUGAACGCUGGCGGCAGGCCUAACACAUGCAAGUCGAACGAGUGGCGGACGGGUGAGUAAUGUCUGGGAAACUGCCUGAUGGAGGGGGAUAACUACUGGAAACGGUAGCUAAUACCGCAUACCAUCAGAUGUGCCCAGAUGGGAUUAGCUUGUUGGUGGGGUAACGGCUCACCAAGGCGACGACCCCUAGCUGGUCUGAGAGGAUGACCAGCAAAACGGGAACGGAGAAAGGGACCAGACGCCAACGGGGGGAAGCAGUGGGGAAGAUUGGAAAAGGGGCGAAAGCCUGAGGAAGCCAGGCCGGGUGGAUGAAGAAGGCCUUCGGGUUUAAAAGUAUUUUCAGCGGGGAGGCGUUACCGGAAGAAGAAGCACCGGCUAACUCCGUGCCAGCAGCCGCGGUAAUAC
rnacentral:rRNA from 1 species